rnacentral:rRNA from 1 species
UACGGGGGGGGCAAGCGUUGUUCGGAAUUACUGGGCGUAAAGGGCUCGUAGGCGGCCAACUAAGUCAGACGUGAAAUCCCUCGGCUUAACCGGGGAACUGCGUCUGAUACUGGAUGGCUAGAGGUUGGGAGAGGGAUGCGGAAUUCCAGGUGUAGCGGUGAAAUGCGUAGAUAUCUGGAGGAACACCGGUGGCGAAGGCGGCGCUCUGGACCGAGACUGACGCUGAGGCGCGAAAGCUAGGGGAGCAAACAGG